CGCGCAGCAGCUUCUCCACAAUGGUGACGCCCACGAAGCCAGUGGCGCCCGUGAUGAACACAUUGCGCCCCGCAUAGAAGUCUGUGAUGGACGAGCUGAAAGCGUAGGAUCACAUGCCAUAAAAUAAACUCUCAUCAAACUUUCUCUCAUCUCCCAUUCAAAUGCCAAUGGGUGCUGGCAUCGCGUCGCGUCGUGGCAAAGUUACGAAACCCCCAGCGAGCGGACGAGCGGAGGCUGCGAUGGCGACUCUGUGGACAUCUCCGACUGGAUUCCAUGGCAAAACCAGUUUCCCGCGUGUCUAGUGUCGGCUUUCGGGUCACUGCCGAUACUUUGUACUAUUCAAAUCCAACUUGUGGGCGUCCCAGUUGACUCUGGCCUACUGCGCACUCGGCUGGAACCGUGUGAUUUGGACCAAUCAACUAAGGAAUGUGUUUAGAAGGUGGAUAAUCAACGCGUGUAGAGGAGAUUCCCAACUAAUUGUUAUCUGUAAGGUAAGGCUGAUUCCUGAACUCUACUGAAAUAUGAUUUGCCAUCUCCCAUCAAACUCCCAACUAUUUCCCCAUCAAACAACGACAAACACACGCAACCUGACCAUUCAAUUAGCCAACAACUCCCAACGCGCAUUUCUCUUUUAAUGAUCUUCACUCUGCGCCAUCUCCACAUUUUUUUGUUAUGCCAAAUGAUUUUAUAAUGAUGAUCGUUGAAGGGGAUCCCUGUGUCUCUCCCCUCAACAAAUGCAUGAUAUAAUUCCUACAUAACGAAUCGCACAAGAAACUCAAAGAAAUGCAACAUUUCCCAUAUGUUUGUUUGUGCCUACAAAUAUUUCUCGUAUUUAUAUGCAGCAAAUCAUGCAAAUUUCCGCAUGCAGCUCAGUCGCGCUGAGCCUGAGGCUUUUGCAGAUCCAUAAAAAAGAUGUCAAGUCACGGUUAAUGGACUCCAUGUUGCCCCCUGGCCCCUCGUCAGAGAUUGCUGUCAAAACUAAAUGGAGCUUUCACUUUGGAGCAGCUACAAGAGCCAGAAGCAGAAACGGAGCAUCGGGUGACCCGAUCCGAGACCCAAACUAAAUUUGUUACCUUGCCAUGGCUUAUGGCUCUUUUCUAUAACUCUUUUUGGGCUGUGGUAAAUUCGGUUUCUUAUCUGUCGGUAACUCUGAUUAGAUUUCCCUGCUGGCCAGUUGCGUGUCUUAUCUUGGGCAAUUAAUUGCUGGGAUUUACUGUCUUGUGGGAGCUGCUACUUGACAUUAGUUUCAAAUUAUGCUUUGGUUCGGCAACAGUGUAGGGAAACGUCACUCAAACAUUCUCUAAACUCGGUGUACAGAGUGUUCUCUGCCAUGUUUAAUUGCAUUUAAUAACCCAAGAUCCCCCUCAUACGAGUAAAGGCCAUUCCCACCACAGCAAUUAAGUGCCCUCGACUCCAUCAUCAUCUGUCUGUCUGUCCGUCUGUCUGGAUGUCUGCCUGGGUAACUGACCCUACCAACUGUGUCCAACCUUGCGGUGGCCCAUAAAUCUCUGGCUCACUCGUGCGAUUAUUAAUGAGCGUUCGAAAAGACCACGUUUCCCCAAAAUAUGCAUGUAAUAAUAUGUAAUGGAUCUUGUUUUCGGCUUCCCUCACUUGCGACAGCCUGUAAUUUUCCGCUCGAUUUUCUGGCGAGCUGCAAAUCGGAACCAAUUGACGUCAUCUACGGCAUGCUGCGGCAGACAUCUACUGAGAUCUGUGGCUACACUUUACUUUCCCACUUGUCCCCCCAGGAAAAGGCGUCAACAGGUCAAAGUGUGAGUAGAAACUGGAAUGCUGUCGUUCUCUCUCUCUUCACUCUUCGAGAACACAGACGACUCUCAGGUGAUGGUGAUUCUAGCAAAGAGAAGAAAGUGUCGCGCGAUGGUUCCAUUUCAUUGGAAUUACGAGUUGUUUGUACUUGUUGUACGUUUCCAUUAUUUGCUUGACUCUUUAUGGAAUCAAUAUUCCAUGAAGUUGAAGUCAAAGAUCGAGCACAAAUAGAUUUACAUGCACGUCUCUUUGCAGUUCUGCCUCAGCCUGAACUUUGUACCGAAUAUCUAACCUCAAUGGCAGCUUUCGGCACACGAUCGAGCGGAGAAAAGAGAAAAAUUUGGCCGAAAGUUGUCAAACGGGCUACCCAAAAAAACACCAAACACACACACACAGACAGAUCGCUGGCAAGUCGGUCCACGAUCGGGUCUUGCAUUGUUUAAGCCACAUGGAUUGAGACUUACCUGGCCA